GUAGGUGGCAAGCGUUGUCCGGAAUUAUUGGGCGUAAAGCGCGCGCAGGCGGUUCUUUAAGUCUGAUGUGAAAGCCCACGGCUCAACCGUGGAGGGUCAUUGGAAACUGGAGAACUUGAGUACAGAAGAGGAAAGCGGAAUUCCACGUGUAGCGGUGAAAUGCGUAGAGAUGUGGAGGAGCACCAGUGGCGAAGGCGGCUUUCUGGUCUGUAAUGACGCUGAGGCGCGAAAGCGUGGGGAGCAAACAGGAUUAGAUACCCUGGUAGUCCACGCCGUAAACGAUGAGUGCUAAGUGUUAGGGGGUUUCCGCCCCUUAGUGCUGCAGCUAACGCAUUAAGCACUCCGCCUGGGGAGUACGGCCGCAAGGCUG
rnacentral:rRNA from 1 species